GGUAAGGCUUCGGCCACUUUGGGAUGGGCCCGCGUCUGAUUAGCUAGUUGGUGGGGUAACGGCCUACCAAGGCGACGAUCAGUAGCCGACCUGAGAGGGUGAACGGCCACACUGGGACUGAGACACGGCCCAGACUCCUACGGGAGGCAGCAGUCGGGAAUAUUGGGCAAUGGACGAAAGUCUGACCCAGCAAUGCCGCGUGAGUGAUGAAGGUCUUCGGAUCGUAAAACUCUGUCUUUGGGGACGAACAAGGUGACGGUACCCAAGGAGGAAGCCCCGGCUAACUACGUGCCAGCAGCCGCGGUAAUACGUAGGGGGCGAGCGUUGUCCGGAAUUACUGGGCGUAAAGGGCGAGUAGGCGGUUUUACAAGUCAGAUGUGAAAUACCAGGGCUUAACCCUGGAGCUGCAUUUGAAACUGUAAGACUUGAGUGCAGGAGAGGAAAGUGGAAUCCCCAGUGUAGCGGUGAAAUGCGUAGAUAUUGGGGGGAACACCAGUGGCGAAGGCGACUUUCUGGACUGUAACUGACGCUGAGGCGCGAAAGCGUGGGGAGCAAACAGGAUUAGAUACCCUGGUAGUCCACGCCGUAAACGAUGAGUGCUAGGUGUUGGAGCAUCGACCCCCCCGGUGCCGCAGCUAACGCAAUAAGCACUCCGCCUGGGGAGUACGGUCGCAAGACUGAAACUCAAAGGAAUUGACGGGGGCCCGCACAAGCGGUGGAGUAUGUGGUUUAAUUCGACGCAACGCGAAGAACCUUACCUGGUCUUGACAUCCCGGGAAUUUCCUGGAAACAGGAGCAGUGUGCCUUGGGGAGCUGUGAGACAGGUGGUGCAUGGUUGUCGUCAGCUCGUGUCGUGAGAUGUUGGGUUAAGUCCCGCAACGAGCGCAACCCCUGUUGUUAGUUGCCAUCAGGUUAAGUUGGGCACUCUAACGAGACUGCCGGUGACAAAUCGGAGGAAGGUGGGGACGACGUCAAAUCAUCAUGCCCCUUAUGUCCUGGGCUACACACGUACUACAAUGGCUAUAACAGCAGGGAGCUAAGGAGCAAUCCGGAGCGAAUCCCUUAAAACAGGUCCCAG
rnacentral:rRNA from 1 species